GGGUUGUGAGGUUAAGCGACUAAGCGUACACGGUGGAUGCCCUGGCAGUCAGAGGCGAUGAAGGACGUGCUAAUCUGCGAUAAGCGUCGGUGAGGUGAUAUGAACCGUUAUAACCGGCGAUUUCCGAAUGGGGAAACCCAGUGUGUUUCGACACACUAUCAUUAACUGAAUCCAUAGGUUAAUGAGGCGAACCGGGGGAACUGAAACAUCUAAGUACCCCGAGGAAAAGAAAUCAACCGAGAUUCCCCCAGUAGCGGCGAGCGAACGGGGAGGAGCCCAGAGCCUGAAUCAGUGUGUGUGUUAGUGGAAGCGUCUGGAAAGGCGUGCGAUACAGGGUGACAGCCCCGUACACAAAAAUGCACAUAUUGUGAGCUCGAUGAGUAGGGCGGGACACGUGGUAUCCUGUCUGAAUAUGGGGGGACCAUCCUCCAAGGCUAAAUACUCCUGACUGACCGAUAGUGAACCAGUACCGUGAGGGAAAGGCGAAAAGAACCCCGGCGAGGGGAGUGAAAAAGAACCUGAAACCGUGUACGUACAAGCAGUGGGAGCCUCUUAAUGGGGUGACUGCGUACCUUUUGUAUAAUGGGUCAGCGACUUAUAUUCUGUAGCAAGGUUAACCGAAUAGGGGAGCCGAAGGGAAACCGAGUCUUAACUGGGCGUUAAGUUGCAGGGUAUAGACCCGAAACCCGGUGAUCUAGCCAUGGGCAGGUUGAAGGUUGGGUAACACUAACUGGAGGACCGAACCGACUAAUGUUGAAAAAUUAGCGGAUGACUUGUGGCUGGGGGUGAAAGGCCAAUCAAACCGGGAGAUAGCUGGUUCUCCCCGAAAGCUAUUUAGGUAGCGCCUCGUGAAUUCAUCUCCGGGGGUAGAGCACUGUUUCGGCAAGGGGGUCAUCCCGACUUACCAACCCGAUGCAAACUGCGAAUACCGGAGAAUGUUAUCACGGGAGACACACGGCGGGUGCUAACGUCCGUCGUGAAGAGGGAAACAACCCAGACCGCCAGCUAAGGUCCCAAAGUCAUGGUUAAGUGGGAAACGAUGUGGGAAGGCCCAGACAGCCAGGAUGUUGGCUUAGAAGCAGCCAUCAUUUAAAGAAAGCGUAAUAGCUCACUGGUCGAGUCGGCCUGCGCGGAAGAUGUAACGGGGCUAAACCAUGCACCGAAGCUGCGGCAGCGACACUAUGUGUUGUUGGGUAGGGGAGCGUUCUGUAAGCCUGUGAAGGUGGCCUGUGAGGGUUGCUGGAGGUAUCAGAAGUGCGAAUGCUGACAUAAGUAACGAUAAAGCGGGUGAAAAGCCCGCUCGCCGGAAGACCAAGGGUUCCUGUCCAACGUUAAUCGGGGCAGGGUGAGUCGACCCCUAAGGCGAGGCCGAAAGGCGUAGUCGAUGGGAAACAGGUUAAUAUUCCUGUACUUGGUGUUACUGCGAAGGGGGGACGGAGAAGGCUAUGUUGGCCGGGCGACGGUUGUCCCGGUUUAAGCGUGUAGGCUGGUUUUCCAGGCAAAUCCGGAAAACCAAGGCUGAGGCGUGAUGACGAGGCACUACGGUGCUGAAGCGACAAAUGCCCUGCUUCCAGGAAAAGCCUCUAAGCAUCAGGUAACAUCAAAUCGUACCCCAAACCGACACAGGUGGUCAGGUAGAGAAUACCAAGGCGCUUGAGAGAACUCGGGUGAAGGAACUAGGCAAAAUGGUGCCGUAACUUCGGGAGAAGGCACGCUGAUAUGUAGGUGAAGCGACUUGCUCGUGGAGCUGAAAUCAGUCGAAGAUACCAGCUGGCUGCAACUGUUUAUUAAAAACACAGCACUGUGCAAACACGAAAGUGGACGUAUACGGUGUGACGCCUGCCCGGUGCCGGAAGGUUAAUUGAUGGGGUUAGCGGUAACGCGAAGCUCUUGAUCGAAGCCCCGGUAAACGGCGGCCGUAACUAUAACGGUCCUAAGGUAGCGAAAUUCCUUGUCGGGUAAGUUCCGACCUGCACGAAUGGCGUAAUGAUGGCCAGGCUGUCUCCACCCGAGACUCAGUGAAAUUGAACUCGCUGUGAAGAUGCAGUGUACCCGCGGCAAGACGGAAAGACCCCGUGAACCUUUACUAUAGCUUGACACUGAACAUUGAGCCUUGAUGUGUAGGAUAGGUGGGAGGCUUUGAAGUGUGGACGCCAGUCUGCAUGGAGCCGACCUUGAAAUACCACCCUUUAAUGUUUGAUGUUCUAACGUUGGCCCGUAAUCCGGGUUGCGGACAGUGUCUGGUGGGUAGUUUGACUGGGGCGGUCUCCUCCUAAAGAGUAACGGAGGAGCACGAAGGUUGGCUAAUCCUGGUCGGACAUCAGGAGGUUAGUGCAAUGGCAUAAGCCAGCUUGACUGCGAGCGUGACGGCGCGAGCAGGUGCGAAAGCAGGUCAUAGUGAUCCGGUGGUUCUGAAUGGAAGGGCCAUCGCUCAACGGAUAAAAGGUACUCCGGGGAUAACAGGCUGAUACCGCCCAAGAGUUCAUAUCGACGGCGGUGUUUGGCACCUCGAUGUCGGCUCAUCACAUCCUGGGGCUGAAGUAGGUCCCAAGGGUAUGGCUGUUCGCCAUUUAAAGUGGUACGCGAGCUGGGUUUAGAACGUCGUGAGACAGUUCGGUCCCUAUCUGCCGUGGGCGCUGGAGAACUGAGGGGGGCUGCUCCUAGUACGAGAGGACCGGAGUGGACGCAUCACUGGUGUUCGGGUUGUCAUGCCAAUGGC
rnacentral:rRNA from 1 species